GAACUGGACAUGCAUUCUUAUCCUGGAAGGAUCAUCAUUCAGUGUAACGAAGGCUCAAUCAUUGCCUUCUACUCUGUUCUGGGUUAUAUGGGAGUUCUGGCAGCGGUUAGUUUUAUUAUUGCUUAUUUUGCCAGGACAUUACCGGACAGUUUUAAUGAGGCCAAGUACAUCACCUUCAGCAUGCUGGUGUUCUGUAGUGUGUGGAUUGCAAUGAUCCCGGCCUAUCUGAGCACAAAAGGG